AAUCCUAACACAACCCUAUGUAGGAACUACUGUUAACCCUGCUUAACAGAGGAGCCGCCUGGGGAAACGCCUGUGUUCCUGGCCAUGGGCUGCAACUCACAGCCUCUCUACGUGGCUGCCUAACUGAGACAAUAAAUCCCUGGAGAUGAAGAAGAAGCAGUGUCUGGUGUACCCACCAAGUAAACUCUGAUCUCAAGCUUUCCUUAGAUGCUCAGAGUUCAACUUCAGUGAAGUUGCUGCUGAACAGAGUCACACAGAGCCAGGGGAGUGAGUGGGGAGAAGCAUGGAAUCAGAAGAAGGUACUGUGCCUUCUCAAAGUCUGUGAAAAGAGACACCUGAGAUCAUUGGGAAACAAAAAAUCUACAAAUCAUGGUAAGACAAUUGGUCAGUACUUUUAGCAAAAGAAAACCCUCCCCUCCUGCCAAAUGACAAAUUAAAUUAUCAGUGGAUGAGACUCAAGUACAUGUGCACAUAAAUGCACAUACACAAGUACACGCACAUGCACACGCACACACCACACGCACACACACACACACACAGGCAAAGAAAUAAAACUGUAUACAUGCCAAAAAAUAGCUGAAUAUUUAUUUAAUCACUGCUGUUGAAGAGCACUGUGAGUUUGUCAUGUAAGAAAUCCCAUGGGAAAUGAUAACAGACCUGACCACAGAAAAAUGGUAAACUUCUGAACAUUAAGAAGGGCACAGACUAAAAUACAAACAUCUACAUAGAAAGAUCUACAGUAAAAAAUAAGAUAUAAUCAUCUAAUAUCUUCUGAAACAUAAAGCUUAUAAAAAUUGAUUCGAAAAACAUGAAGAUUUCAGAAUAGAAAUGGGCAAAGGACACAAGACAACUCACAAUACAGCAAAUAUAAAUAAAUAAAAAACAGAUGGAAAAUGUUCAUCUUGUUACUUAACAAAGGCAAAAUUGAAACAGCAGUAGAGUAAUUUUUCUUACUAUCAAGUUAGCAAAAAUAAUUUCUUUGCCUAAUCAUGUUGAUAAGAGCACAAUGAAACAGGAAAUCUCAUAAACUGCUUGCAGGAGUACAAAACUUUCUGGAAAGCAAUGUGCUGUUUCCCAAGAGGACUCUAAGUGUUUGUAUCCUUCGACCUAGUAAUUCUACUUCCAAGAACUUAUCAUCAGAAAGUAAUUUAAAAAUUCCAAAAUAUGGACAUCAUGCAUAAAAGAUGUUCAUUUCAUCAUUGCUUAUUAAAAAAAAACGGAACACCCUAAAUGCCUACUAUUCAUUUCAAUAUUUUUUGAGCACCUAAUAUGUGUCAAACAAUGAGCUAGAACAGACACCAAACACAAACCAGUUAUGAUUCUUAUCCUUCCAAUACUGGGAGGAACUGCAGGUUGGGAGGAGAUAUACAUUGAAUUAAGUAAUUAUUACACUUGUUACAGGAAUGCAUAGCAGAGGCACCUAACCAGAGGGGGGUGACAUUUAAACUAACUCCUGAAAACUAUGUGAAAGUAACCAGAAGGGGAUGGCAGAUGAAAUAUUCUGAUUAAUACUUCAAGAAGCAGAAACAAUGGGAGUAAAAGAAUCUUGCCGUUUCAAGGAAGUAUCAUAAUGUGUUCCAGAAAAAGGAAACAACAUAUUGCAAGUCCAGGAGGAAAAAAAUUUGACCUAAAUUAAGAGUGUCCUCAUAUUUCAAAAUGGCGAUGAAGAGAGUCCAAGCAUCUGUUGGGAAGAUGAGACCUAGCAGGAAACACAGUGGAGUUGCUUUCCUCCUCUUCUUCUGAUUAAUUUCACAGGUUUUUCACGUUUUUAGUUUAAAUGUCACCUACGCUGGUUAAGUCCCCUCUGCUAUGAACUCCUGUAGCAAAUGUCAUAAUUACUUGAUUAAAUGCUUAUCUCCUCCAAGACUGUAAGUUCUGCAAGGAUAAGAAUUAUAUCUGCCUUGCAGAUGGGUGUGGUGGCUCACACCUGUAAUCCCAGCACUUUGGGAGGCCGAGGAUCACCUGAGGCCAGGAGUUCAAGACCAGCCUGGCCAAUAUGGUGAAAUCCCAUCUCUACCAAAAGUACAAAAAUUUAGUUGGGCAUGGUGGUGCACAUCUGUGGUCCCAGCUACUUGGGAGGCUGAUGUGAGAGGAUUUCUUGAGCCUGGCAGGCGGAGGUUGUAGUAGUGAGCCAAGAUUGCACCACUGCACUCCAGCCUGGGUGACAGAGUGAGACUCUCUCUC